GACGAACGCUGGCGGCGUGCUUAACACAUGCAAGUCGAACGGAAAGGCCCUGCUUUUGUGGGGUGCUCGAGUGGCGAACGGGUGAGUAACACGUGAGUAACCUGCCCUUGACUUUGGGAUAACUUCAGGAAACUGGGGCUAAUACCGGAUAGGAGCUCCUGCUGCAUGGUGGGGGUUGGAAAGUUUCGGCGGUUGGGGAUGGACUCGCGGCUUAUCAGCUUGUUGGUGGGGUAGUGGCUUACCAAGGCUUUGACGGGUAGCCGGCCUGAGAGGGUGACCGGCCACAUUGGGACUGAGAUACGGCCCAGACUCCUACGGGAGGCAGCAGUGGGGAAUAUAGCACAAUGGGCGGAAGCCUGAUGCAGCAACGCCGCGUGCGGGAGGACGGCCUUCGGGUUGUAAACCGCUUUCGCCUGUGACGAAGCGUGAGUGACGGUAAUGGGUAAAGAAGCACCGGCUAACUACGU
rnacentral:rRNA from 1 species